rnacentral:rRNA from 1 species
UACGUAGGGCGCAAGCGUUGUCCGGAAUUAUUGGGCGUAAAGAGCUCGUAGGCGGCUUGUCACGUCGGGUGUGAAAGCCCGGGGCUUAACCCCGGGUCUGCAUUCGAUACGGGCUGGCUAGAGUGUGGUAGGGGAGAUCGGAAUUCCUGGUGUAGCGGUGAAAUGCGCAGAUAUCAGGAGGAACACGGUGGCGAAGGCGGAUCUCUGGGCCAUUACUGACGCUGAGGAGCGAAAGCGUGGGGAGCGAACAGG